ACAGUAAGGACAGUGUGGUUAAAAAUACAAUCACAAAUGCAUGCAGUAUGUCGCUGUAUCGAAGCAUUACCACAGAAGCCCUGGUUUAUAGCAGAAGUCUACACCAGGCUAAAGCCAGGGGAUGUGGGCUUCAGGGCAGGUGCCCCUGUGGCCCUAAGGACAGCUAGAUCUGCUCCGGGACAGACCGUCAGAACCACUGAAAGUGUUCUCUCUCACACACACACAAAAAUACAUCCGUUUCCAUGACAGUAAAAACAGUGUAUAUGCCAAGACAUACAGGCCCUUACAAAUUACUGCCUAUCUCACAUACCACAGAGUGUAAUACAUCGCUCCUUGACAGGCUCAAGCAGGUCUUCGCCCAGUCUUAUCUGUCAACAAGUCAGAGAAGACCACCUCUCCCAGCAAUGAACAAGCACUCCACCUAUCCACAGCAUAAGUGAGGAACACUGUAAAGUGAACCCAGUGGACAGGAGCAGGAAUACAGGGACCUUGUGGAGGCCUUCAGGAACUGGUGCAGUAGAAGCUGCCUCCAGCUUAACACCAAAACCAAGGAGAUGGUGGUGGAUUUUAGAAGAUCUAGGCCACCUCAUCAGCCAGUUUCCAUACAGGGGCAGGACAUCGAGGUGAUGACCUCCUACAAAUACCUGGGGGUCAUAUUGGACGAUAAACUGGAAUGGUCCCUAAAUACAGAUUUCCUUUACAAGAAGGGGCAGAGCUGCUGCUUCUUUCUGCGGAAGCUGAGGUCCUUUGACGUGUGUGAUGACAUGUUGCACAUGUUUUAUCACUCAAUGGUAGCCACUGCCCUCCUUUAUGCUGCUACAUGUUGGGGGUAAAGACUGACAGAUAAAAACACCAAGAGGCUGAACAAGCUGGUGAACAAUGCUGGCUCAGUGCUGGGCAGGAGGCUGGACUCACUUAGAACAGUGGAAGAAAGGGCCACAUUGAACAGAUUGAAAGGUAUAAUGGACAACAGUGGACACCCCCUUCACAGCCUCAUGGUUGGGCAGAGGAGCAGCAGUGGUAGUCGGCUCCUCUCACUGCGCUACAGAACUGAGCGGUUUAGGAGGUCCUUUGUCCCCAUUGCAAUUAGACUUUUUAAUAGUGCUCUCUGACCUCAUCCUCCCAUUCCACCCCCUGUCGUUUAUCUAUUAUAACUGUAUUGUAACUAAAAGACUGUGUUAUGUGUAAUAUGGAUGUAUUUUAGUAUGUACUUUUUUAUUAUUUUUGGAGGGGCUACUGGACAUGUACAUUUCCCCCUUGGGGAUAAAUAAAGUUUCUUUCUGUCUGUCUAUCUAUCUACCAGACAGCCAAUAGGGCCCCCCUAUCACUUUGAGCCCCCAGGAUUCUGCCUAGGCAUGUCUGUUCAUUAAUCCCAUCCUGAUUAUGUUAAUAUAUCUCAAUACUUAUAUUUGGGUCAUUCUGGUUUCAUUGAACAAAAAGUUAAAAAAUGUAACAGUAAAAAAAUUAUAGAUCAUAAGAAAAUACUAGCAUUUUUGCUAUCCAGGGUGUUGAAAUGGCACUAUAUAUCAAAAAGGAUUUUUUAAAUAAAAACAUUUCUGAGUU